UCUGCCCUGCACCACCACCAGCAGUCUGUUGCCUCCUUUGACUGAAACUGCAGCUAAUGACCCUGUUCCCUCCAUGGUGCGAGCAUACAGCGCACCAAAACCCAGCUUGUCACCUCAAAACCUGCCUCAGUACAGGAAUGUGUUCAAUGACCGCGCCAGGAGAGGCUUCUGCUACUGGCUUGUGGAGAAGAAGGGCUCAGCGGGUAAAGGAUACAGCUUUGGUGCAUAUAAGACCUGCCUGGGAUUACCAAGAAUCUAAUUGUUACUAGAAAUUUUUUGACUUUCUGCCCAGAUUUGUUCGAUUGUAUAAAACAGGAGCUGGUACACGCUUUCAAAGCUGUGAAUACACAAUUUCCAGAAGAGUAAUUUUUUCAUUGAGUGUGGAAAUGUUUUCAGUUUGAAUUAUUAGAAGUCAUAAUAAAACAUUUGUAGUGACUGUGAUAAUGUGCUUUGUGAUAUAACAACAGUAACCGAGUUAUCAAACUCUGUGAAAAUCUAAAGGUGAACUGUUGUAUGCAUGUGUUUGCCUGCACUCUGAGCAAAAUGAGAAUCUGUUACAAUGAUUGCAUCUUUAUCAUAUUCACAAUAUGGAGCUUUGGCAUAAUGGAGAGUGAAAUACAUUGACUGCUCUCCUUGAGCCUUUAAAGCAUUUGAAUCUUACCUUUUCUUAUGCCUUCUGACUGUUUUGCUCUUUUAUUUUGAUUUCAUUUCUUUAUUUCUACUUUUAUCAGGAUGAUUUUUAUCGUAUACAUUUUCUGUUAUUCACUCUUUAAAGCUUGCUUGUAUGUAUGCAAAGCAAAUAAAAACUGAAUAAAGUGUCUAACAUAAAUAAACGUGCCUCAGUUAA